GUUCUUCCUUAGUCAUGCAAGUACCUAGUCUCUAUGGAUAUCCAUUCAGGAUUAGCCUAGAACAGUCCUCUUUGGUGUUGAUUUUUCUUCUCUAAGAAUAAUUACCCCAUGAUUUUGAACGAAGCCUGGAUCGCGAUCAACUCUUUCAUCUUUUCUUGAUCUUUUUCUUCUCUUCUUUUUUUGCUCUUCUUUCCUUAAUUAUGAAGCAACCAAGAUCUGAAAAUCAGCCACCAAAGGAGACACCCAAGCUCCUCUUGGGUGUGGAGAUGGAGGACACCCAACCUUUUAGGCAUUGGAACUAGAAGGGAGA
rnacentral:lncRNA from 1 species